rnacentral:misc_RNA from 1 species
AUCUAAGAAAGCUAACAAAAUGCCAGCCUAUAAAUUAAUGUACUUUGAGGCUAAGGGGAGAGCUGAAGUCAUCCGAUUGUCAUUUGCGGCCGCUGGACAGUCGUUUGAGGACAAGAGAUAUUCAAUAGAAGAAUGGUACAAAGUGAAACCAAGUACGUAGACCUUUAAAUUCAAUCAAAUUAAACUUUUGCAUAUGUUAUAGCUAAAAAAAAUUAAGCGUACUCUAAAGAUGAUAUGAGUGAUUGGAUAUAAGAGGAGUGUUGAAAUUAAGCAAAUUGAAUUAUUGGUACUUCAUUGCAAAUACAAACAUCACAUGUUAGUACAGUGGCCGGUAUAAAACAUUGUUUGGGCAUGUUUGUUUUGUGUCAUCCCAAUAUAAAUACACAACUUUUUUAUUGAUAGUAGCUGCAGACAGUAAUUUAGAAAAUACAAACCAGCUUGACUAUGAAUGUUGCUGUAGAUUAACAACUCUGCAAUAAUGUUGGUAGCUGCUUGUGCUGGUACUUUUUGUCCCAAAAUGAAAGACUUUAGAGAGAAUAAUAAAAGAAAAUGGUGAAGACUUUUCUAUAAUCUUCAACUACGAUCCGUUGCAUGAUAUUGGUCAAAGACCAUCUCUAUUGAUUUUGAACUGCCCCUUAAGGAGACGCAGGGUAUUUUCUGGAUGACAGAGGAACACAAAAAGAUAUACACUUUUUUAUCAAAUUUAUUCAAAUUCGUUAAAUAAAGAAAAUUAAACAGAAAACAAAAAAUUAAAUCUCGUUUCACAUAUCACAGCAAAUCUUUACUAUAUUACUGAUUGAACUACAUGUAUUGAUCUGGAUUAAAUUACAAACUUUCUGCAGAUGAAUAAUUCCUUUACUUAUAGUCGGGUUCGUUUCUACGUUUAAAGCAACAUACGUUUUCUUUUGUCAGUGGCGGUGUUUUCUUAACGAAGAAUGCGCUGUAAAAACGAGGUUUUUUAAAUUGAUGUUUGUUUUUUAGCAAUUCCACAGCAUCAGUUGCCGUGUCUUCAGGUUGACGGUCGCUUUAUCCCUCAGUCGGGAGCCAUCAUGAGAUAUAUAGCCAGGGAAUUCGGUACAUGUUUGUUAAUUUAGAGCGUUCCUGAAAAUGGAUCAUUAAAAUCCCAAUCAAAAAGACACAUAAAAAGGCGUUAUUUUCCCAAAUCUCUUUUUGUAUUUCAUUUCAUUUUGUGAUAUACAGAAAUGUAAAAUCGUUGCGUAAGAAUUGAAGUAAUAUGAACACCUUUUGAACUGCCAAUAUUCUUAUGACCUUAUGUUUAUAUCAGUUUGGAAAAGUAAACAAGUAUAAGUAAUGUGUCCCUCCUGCAUGUAUCAAUCUUAGGCACGUGGGUCUAAAUUAACAUUAAGUAUUUGUUUUCAUAAAAGCUGUAGUCGAGUGAUCAUAUGUCUUUACAAACUUAGAUAAUCAGCAUCACAAUUCGUGUUCUAGGGUUGCACGGUGAUAAUAAUGACGAGAACACUCGUGUUGACGUCAUCCUGGGAGCCUCCGACGAUUUUUUAAAGAAUGUCAUGUCAUGGUAUUAUGAAAAAGACGAAACCAAAAAAGAGGAAAUCAAUAAAAAUCUGGAAGAAACCAAGCUUCCUCAGUUUUUCAGCUUGUUGGAGAGCAUUCUAAAGGAAAAUGAUGACGGUGACGGCUACUUCGUUGGUAAAAAGAUAUCGUUAGCGGACAUUUUGAUUUAUGACAUCACAGACCAGACCAGUUCUGUUGCAAAACUUCCUGCUUUCCCACCAAAACUGGCAGGGCUGAUUGACAGAGUGAAGAACUAUUCCAAGAUAAAGGAAUAUCUAGCCAAGAGAGAAAAGUUAACGCAAUAAAAAAAGUAAACAC